rnacentral:rRNA from 1 species
UGUAAGCGUAUACCAAAGUUGUUGCAGUUAAAACGCUCGUAGUCGGAAUUUGGCAGUUCCGGAUGUGUGCACGUCGUGUGCGCACUUCGCGGGGAUUGCUUUUGUGGUCUUGCGUAGGAUGAGGCACUUUCAUUAGUGAACGUCCUCACGCAACCACUUUUUACUGUGAGAAAAUCAGAGUGCUCAAAGCAGGCAUUUGCCGUGAAUGUAUUAGCAUGGAAUAAUAGAAUAGGACUUGGUUCUAUUUUGUUGGUUUGUUGGGACUGAGUAAUGAUUAAGAGGGACAGUUGGGGGCAUUUGUAUUUCGGUGCUAGAGGUGAAAUUCUUAGAUUACCGAAAGACAAACUGCUGCGAAAGCGUCUGCCAAGGAUGUUUUCAUUGA